rnacentral:rRNA from 1 species
AUUGAACGCUGGCGGCAUGCUUUACACAUGCAAGUCGAACGGUAACAGGGAGCUUGCUCCGCUGACGAGUGGCGAACGGGUGAGUAAUGCAUCGGAACGUACCCAGUCGUGGGGGAUAACGUAGCGAAAGUUACGCUAAUACCGCAUACGUCCUGAGGGAGAAAGCGGGGGACCGUAAGGCCUCGCGCGAUUGGAGCGGCCGAUGUCGGAUUAGCUAGUUGGUGGGGUAAAGGCCUACCAAGGCGACGAUCCGUAGCGGGUCUGAGAGGAUGAUCCGCCACACUGGGACUGAGACACGGUCCAGACUCCUACGGGAGGCAGCAGUGGGGAAUUUUGGACAAUGGGGGCAACCCUGAUCCAGCCAUGCCGCGUGAGUGAAGAAGGCCUUCGGGUUGUAAAGCUCUUUCGGCCGGGAAAAAAUCGCAUCAGUUAAUACCUGGUGUGGAUGAUGGUACCGGAAUAAGAAGCACCGGCUAACUACGUG